UGGGGAAUUUUGGACAAUGGGCGCAAGCCUGAUCCAGCCAUGCCGCGUGCAGGAUGAAGGCCUUCGGGUUGUAAACUGCUUUUGUACGGAACGAAAAGGUUUGGCCUAAUAAGCUGAGCUCAUGACGGUACCGUAAGAAUAAGCACCGGCUAACUACGUGCCAGCAGCCGCGGUAAUACGUAGGGUGCAAGCGUUAAUCGGAAUUACUGGGCGUAAAGCGUGCGCAGGCGGUGAUGUAAGACAGGUGCGAAAUCCCCGGGCUUAACCUGGGAAUUGCAUUUGUGACUGCAUCGCUGGAGUGCGGCAGAGGGGGAUGGAAUUCCGCGUGUAGCAGUGAAAUGCGUAGAUAUGCGGAGGAACACCGAUGGCGAAGGCAAUCCCCUGGGCCUGCACUGACGCUCAUGCACGAAAGCGUGGGGAGCAAACA
rnacentral:rRNA from 1 species